rnacentral:rRNA from 1 species
AGUGAUCGCUGGCGGCGUGCUUAACACAUGCAAGUCGAGCGGAUUUCAGCAGUGUAUCGCUGGAAUUAGCGGCAGACGGGUGAGUAAUACUUGGGCAAUCUGCCCUUGAGUGGGAAACAACCGGCCGAAAGGCUGGCUAAUGUCCCAUAAGACCACAGGAUGGCAUCAUCCAGGGGUCAAAGCUCCGCAAGGGGCGCUUGAGGAGGAGCCCGAGUCCUAUCAUGGUAGUUGGUGAGGUAACGGCUCACCAAGCCUUUGACGGGUAGCCGGCCUGAAGGGUGAUCGGCCACACUGGCACUGAGACACGGGCCAGACUCCUACGGGAGGCAGCAGUGGGGAAUUUUGGACAAUGGGGCAACCCUGAUCCAGCGACGCCGCGUGAAGGAUGAAGGUCUUCGGUAUUGUUAAAC